rnacentral:rRNA from 1 species
GGCGAACGCUGGCGGCGUGCCUAACACAUGCAAGUCGAGGGGGAAAGGGGAGCUUCGGCUUCCCGAGUACACCGGCAGACGGGUGAGUAACGCGUGGGUAACCUACCUUGGGGUCUGGGAUAACCUCUCGAAAGGGGGGCUAAUACCGGAUACGCUCCUUAGGCGCGAGUCUAAGGAGGAAAGGGUGCCUCUGCAUAGCAAGCACCUGCCCUGAGAGGGGCCCGCGUCCCAUCAGCUAGUUGGUGGGGUAACGGCCCACCAAGGCUACGACGGGUAGCCGGCCUGAGAGGGUGGUCGGCCACACUGGCACUGAGACACGGGCCAGACUCCUACGGGAGGCAGCAGUGGGGAAUCUUGGGCAAUGGGCGCAAGCCUGACCCAGCGACGCCGCGUGGGGGAAGAAGGCCUUCGGGUCGUAAACCCCUGUCAGGGAGGACGAACCUCCUGCUGGUGAAUAGCCAGUGGGAGCUGACGGUACUCUCAGAGGAAGCCACGGCUAACUCCGUGCCAGCAGCCGCGGUAAUACGGAGGUGGCGAGCGUUGCCCGGAAUCACUGGGCGUAAAGGGGGCGUAGGCGGCCGGACAAGUCGGACGUGAAAGCCCGGGGCUCAACCCCGGAAUCGCGUUCGAGACUGUCUGGCUUGAGGCCCGGAGAGGCCGGCGGAAUUCCCGGUGUAGGGGUGAAAUCCGUAGAUAUCGGGAGGAACACCGGUGGCGAAGGCGGCCGGCUGGACGGCGCCUGACGCUGAGGCCCGAAAGCGUGGGGAGCGAACCGGAUUAGAUACCCGGGUAGUCCACGCCGUAAACGAUGGGUGCUAGGUGUGGGGGGUUAAACCCUCCGUGCCGAAGCUAACGCAUUAAGCACCCCGCCUGGGGAGUACGGCCGCAAGGCUGAAACUCAAAGGAAUUGACGGGGGCCC